UACGGAGGGAGCUAGCGUUGUUCGGAAUUACUGGGCGUAAAGCGCGCGUAGGCGGCUUUGUAAGUUAGAGGUGAAAGCCCGGGGCUCAACCCCGGAAUUGCCUUUAAGACUGCAUCGCUUGAAUCCGGGAGAGGUGAGUGGAAUUCCGAGUGUAGAGGUGAAAUUCGUAGAUAUUCGGAAGAACACCAGUGGCGAAGGCGGGUCUCUGGGCCGAUACUGACGCUGAGGAGCGAAAGCGUGGGGAGCGAACAGG
rnacentral:rRNA from 1 species